rnacentral:lncRNA from 1 species
CCGCGUGGCGGCGAGCGGCGGCCGGGCUGGCCGGCGGGCUCGGGCGACGGCGGCGGGGAGCCGCGGCCGGCAGAGGGUCCGUGGGCAGGCGGAGCCGCGGCUCCGGGGGCUUGUCCGGGGGCUGCGGGGCCGGGGGUCCGGGCGGACAGGGGCCGUGCAGUGCGGGGAACCGGCGGCUGAGGUUUGCCUCGCUGUGCUGCCUCGUGGGGUCUGGGGAUUGCGGGGGGGUUUGUGCCCUGGGAACGGGGCCGUGGGGUGCAGGCUGGUGCGUCUGCGCUGGUGAAUCUGGGCCACGGUUUGUGGUCGGUUGUCCACGCUGGUGUUAGGGGCACUGGUGAGCAGUUGGACGAAUGAUUUGGGGAAUGGGGCUGUGGCUCGCGUUGGGUUGUAUAUUGGACGUGUGGCUCGCAUUGGGUUGUAUGUUGGGACAUGGAGUGGCAGUCGGGGUUUGCUGUGGCAGGUGUUGGGGGAUAGGAAUCACGAGCUGCACUGGGGUGCCAGCACUUAAGGACAGGAGCUGUGGUUGGCACUGGUGUGCCUGUGCUGGAGAGUGAGGGCUGCUGUGGGGUGUGCAGAUUGGAAAGAAGGGUCAGUGACUGUAGUGGGGGCGUAUUUGAGGGGAUAAGGGUUGUGAUUUGCAGUGAAUUAAAUGUAGCUGGAGGUAGAUGCCAUGGUUUGCCGUGACACAUGUGCUGGGAAGUAGGGGCCAUGAUUUAUGGUUGGGUGUAUGUGCUGGGCAACGGGAGCCCUGCUUUCUGGUAUCAUGCACACAGGUGUAGUGUGCAUCAGAGAGUACGGACCAUGAUGCCUGUGGCAUGGUCCAGAAGCAUUUAAGUGGAGCAGGGUUACUUCUGGUGAGGGCAUGGCAUUGAUUUUGCAACGCGUCUCUUUUUGAUCUUUGUGUAUCUGCGUAUAACUGAGUGUAUCCACACCCAGGGCUUUGCACAUACCUGUGCAUGAUGCUCAGCACACCAUUUUUCCAUGUGUUCUGUUGUCAGUAUGUAAGCACAAUUUGUGUAGUCAGGCAUCUCCAACCCAGUCUCUUCCGGAUAAUGUGCUGGCCUCUGGACUCAGGAUGUGCUGUACAGUCCUGUGUGCAGGACUUACAUGGCCGUGCUCCUGUGCUUGGGCCUGAGUUUGCAGUUUUGGCCUGCCCCCUGAUGUCUUGGGGAACUGCUGGAAAAAUGAGAGUCUGCCAUUCUCCUCCUCUUCUAAAAAUGGGUCAAGGAAGCAGGAAACUCCAGAGCUGGAUUUGCGCAGGUUGAUGAAGAGGGAGUGCUGUGACCCCGUGCCCGUGCCAGUCUUUUCAGGUAAACGCUGUUUUUUUCUUCCCUUUUUUUGCCUUUGGAAAUGCCCUGGGUCUCCCAACGGGAAGUGAGGCUGAUGAGGGCCCUGCUGCCUCCACCUGGGAGGGCAUCACCUGUCUGGGGCACUGGGGAUGGAGACCUGGCCAGUGCUCUUGAGCAGCAGCAUGGAGGACUGAGGGCAAAAAUGGGGCUUGUGAGGGCUGGAAAAGGAUGGAGGGUGUCAGGCUGAAGGGAACAGGGUGCAUUCAGGCAGGUUGUAAGUGAUGCAGAAGCAGUUAUGAGUCAGGAGUAGGUCAUCACAUCAUGUAUGUGCCUUGAGGAGACACCAAGAGGAAAAGACAAGGGGAGAAAGGGUCUGCCCAGACCCUUCCCUCUGGGAUCCAGCAUGCCAUCUCUCAUAGAAUCCUCCCAGGUCCAUCCAGCUGAGAUCCAGCAUCUCUGACUGGGGCAAGGACCACUGGUCUUGGAGGACAGGAGGCUCCUGGUCAUCUCACUGUUGUGGGUACUUCUACCAGCCCUGGCUGCUCAGCUGCUGACUAAUGCAAUGGGGCUUUUUCCUGCCCUGCCCAAGGAAGCUGAACCCUUUGCAAGUGCUGCCUGUCCCCAGAGCUGGUGUGGCUGGUGUGGGAUCAUGUCACCCCUCAGCUGUGUCUGAACUGGGUGCUGUGUGCAUGCUGUGCUACAGGGCAGGGCAAGAUCUCAGUGGGAGCUCUGGGUGAGUAUGCAACAUGCUGUGAAGGGCAUUUUCUUUGGACACACAGAGAAGUUUAGGCUUUUGGUGCUGCUUCC